AAUAUCAAAGGUGAGCCAGUACAGGAUGGACCCGCGUCUGAUUAGCUAGUUGGUAAGGUAACGGCUUACCAAGGCGACGAUCAGUAGCCGACCUGAGCGGGUGAUCGGCCACAUUGGAACUGAGACACGGUCCAAACUCCUACGGGAGGCAGCAGUGGGGAAUAUUGCACAAUGGGCGAAAGCCUGAUGCAGCAACGCCGCGUGAGUGAUGAAGGCCUUCGGGUCGUAAAACUCUGUCCUCAAGGAAGAUAAUGACGGUACUUGAGGAGGAAGCCCCGGCUAACUACGUGCCAGCAGCCGCGGUAAUACGUAGGGGGCUAGCGUUAUCCGGAUUUACUGGGCGUAAAGGGUGCGUAGGCGGUCUUUCAAGUCAGGAGUGAAAGGCUACGGCUCAACCGUAGUAAGCUCUUGAAACUGGGAGACUUGAGUGCAGGAGAGGAGAGUGGAAUUCCUAGUGUAGCGGUGAAAUGCGUAGAUAUUAGGAGGAACACCAGUUGCGAAGGCGGCUCUCUGGACUGUAACUGACGCUGAGGCACGAAAGCGUGGGGAGCAAACAGGAUUAGAUACCCUGGUAGUCCACGCUGUAAACGAUGAGUACUAGGUGUCGGGGGUAACCACC
rnacentral:rRNA from 1 species